GGCCUAACACAUGCAAGUCGAGCGGUAGCACAGAGAGCUUGCUCUCGGGUGACGAGCGGCGGACGGGUGAGUAAUGUCUGGGAAACUGCCUGAUGGAGGGGGAUAACUACUGGAAACGGUAGCUAAUACCGCAUAACGUCGCAAGACCAAAGUGGGGGACCUUCGGGCCUCAUGCCAUCAGAUGUGCCCAGAUGGGAUUAGCUAGUAGGUGGGGUAACGGCUCACCUAGGCGACGAUCCCUAGCUGGUCUGAGAGGAUGACCAGCCACACUGGAACUGAGACACGGUCCAGACUCCUACGGGAGGCAGCAGUGGGGAAUAUUGCACAAUGGGCGCAAGCCUGAUGCAGCCAUGCCGCGUGUGUGAAGAAGGCCUUCGGGUUGUAAAGCACUUUCAGCGGGGAGGAAGGCGGUGAGGUUAAUAACCUUGUCGAUUGACGUUACCCGCAGAAGAAGCACCGGCUAACUCCGUGCCAGCAGCCGCGGUAAUACGGAGGGUGCAAGCGUUAAUCGGAAUUACUGGGCGUAAAGCGCACGCAGGCGGUCUGUCAAGUCGGAUGUGAAAUCCCCGGGCUCAACCUGGGAACUGCAUUCGAAACUGGCAGGCUAGAGUCUUGUAGAGGGGGUAGAAUUCCAGGUGUAGCGGGAAAUGCGUAGAGAUCUGGAGGAAUAC
rnacentral:rRNA from 2 species